ensembl:lncRNA
ACUCAUAUUUAUAUCAUUUCUAGGUCUCAUUGAUUUACAUUAAAAACUAUCAAAAUUGUAUCAUAUUUUUAGAGUACACCAGUAUCAUCUACAGAAGAGGUUAUUGAGCAAUCUGAUUCAGAUAAUUAUUAUCAAUUAUCCCUUGUAGUAACAAAUUAUAGCACAUUUAUGCAAUACAAGUUGUAUUAUGUCUAUGAAACAGGUAAAAAAUUGAAAAACUUCAAGAUUUCAUAUUUCAAAUCUAAAUGAUAGAAUUCACAAUCAUUCUUACUGUCUGUAGAAUGAAGCUUCUGGUUGUAUUGUUCUGCUGGUGGAGAGUGAGAAGGACAUCUUUGACUACUUCCAGAGGAAAUACAGAGAACCAAAGGAGCGCAGCGAGUGAAAUACUGGCAGAAUUCAACCUCAGACUGAGUGGCAAAAUUAGGAAAAGUAGCCAAGUCUUGUUCUGCUCAGAUUAAGUAAACUUUAAAAAAGGGUUAAAGAAAAGCACUGGAUCUCAUCUUUGAUGGUCGUGUGGUCCUUGUGUGUGAGGGUGUCCAGUCCAGACAUGCUACACAAUGAAUACAAAACUCAGAUCUUAGUAAAUGUGCCACAUGCCAUUUGUUUUGUUUGUGUUCGUGGAUGUUUAGCAACCAUGAAAUAACGCAGAAAUGAUCAUCACUUCAAUGUUAAGCAUGUUGCAGGGUAUUUCAAACGAAGGAAUGCUGUCAGAUAAGAGUGAGAGGGAGGAUGGAUCCUGAUGUAUAAGAACUGGUGGAGCCAGUUACACGUUACAUUACUUUUGGUUUUUAACAGCUGGAACGUCACAGACACUGUCUGUGCAAUCAACAUAUAAACAAGGUAAGACAAAGUAAAAGUAUAUUUAAGUAUAUUUCAUAUACAGUACAGGUCAAAAGUUUGGAAACAUUACUAUUUUUAAUGUUUUUGAAAGAAGUCUCUUCUGCUCAUCAAGCCUGCAUUUAUUUGAUCAAAAAUACAGAAAAAAACAGUAAUAUUGUGAAAUAUUAUUACAACUUAAAAUAAUAGUUUUCUAUUUGAAUAUACUUAAAAAAAAAAAAAAAUAUUCCUGUGAUGCAAAGCUGAAUUUUCAGCAUCAUUACUCCAGCCUUCAGUGUCACAUGUAACAUCCAGUCUAUCACAUGAUCAUUUAGAAAUCAUUCUAAUAUUCUGAUUUAUUAUGAGUGUUGGAAACAGUUCUGCUGUCUAAUAUAUUUGAUGAAUAAAAGGUUAAAAAGAACUGCA